rnacentral:rRNA from 1 species
GACGAACGCUGGCGGCGUGCUUAACACAUGCAAGUCGAGCGGAAAGGCCCUGCUUUUGUGGGGUGCUCGAGUGGCGAACGGGUGAGUAACACGUGAGUAACCUGCCCUUGACUUAGGGAUAACUUCAGGAAACUGGGGCUAAUACCGGAUAGGAGCUCCUGCUGCAUGGUGGGGGUUGGAAAGUUUCGGCGGUUGGGGAUGGACUCGCGGCUUAUCAGCUUGUUGGUGGGGUAGUGGCUUACCAAGGCUUUGACGGGUAGCCGGCCUGAGAGGGUGACCGGCCACAUUGGGACUGAGAUACGGCCCAGACUCCUACGGGAGGCAGCAGUGGGGAAUAUUGCACAAUGGGCGGAAGCCUGAUGCAGCAACGCCGCGUGCGGGAUGACGGCCUUCGGGUUGUAAACCGCUUUCGCCUGUGACGAAGCGUGAGUGACGGUAAUGGGUAAAGAAGCACCGGCUAACUACGUG